UGAAAGUCUGUUUCCCGUACGACCCCCGAAGUUAAGCAACGUCGAGUUUUGUUAGUACCUAAAUGGGCGACCGCUUGGGAAUUCUUGGGGCGGC